rnacentral:rRNA from 1 species
GACGAACGCUGGCGGCGUGCCUAACACAUGCAAGUCGAGCGGUAAGGCCCUUUCGGGGGUACACGAGCGGCGAACGGGUGAGUAACACGUGGGUGACCUGCCCUCAGCUCUGGGAUAAGCCUGGGAAACCGGGUCUAAUACUGGAUAUGACUCCAUGACGCAUGUUGUGGGGUGGAAAGCCUUGUGCGGCUGAGGAUGGGCCCGCGGCCUAUCAGCUUGUUGGUGGGGUGANGGCCUACCAAGGCGACGACGGGUAGCCGGCCUGAGAGGGCGACCGGCCACACUGGGACUGAGACACGGCCCAGACUCCUACGGGAGGCAGCAGUGGGGAAUCUUGCGCAAUGGGCGAAAGCCUGACGCAGCGACGCCGCGUGAGGGAUGACGGCCUCGG